GCUUAACACAUGCAAGUCGAGGGGUAGCAUGGUCUUAGCUUGCUAAGGCCGAUGGCGACCGGCGCACGGGUGAGUAACACGUAUCCAACCUGCCGUCUACUCUUGGACAGCCUUCUGAAAGGAAGAUUAAUACAAGAUGGCAUCAUGAGUCCGCAUGUUCACAUGAUUAAAGGUAUUCCGGUAGACGAUGGGGAUGCGUUCCAUUAGAUAGUAGGCGGGGUAACGGCCCACCUAGUCUUCGAUGGAUAGGGGUUCUGAGAGGAAGGUCCCCCACAUUGGAACUGAGACACGGUCCAAACUCCUACGGGAGGCAGCAGUGAGGAAUAUUGGUCAAUGGGCGAGAGCCUGAACCAGCCAAGUAGCGUGAAGGAUGACUGCCCUAUGGGUUGUAAACUUCUUUUAUAAAGGAAUAAAGUCGGGUAUGGAUACCCGUUUGCAUGUACUUUAUGAAUAAGGAUCGGCUAACUCCGUGCCAGCAGCCGCGGUAAUACGGAGGAUCCGAGCGUUAUCCGGAUUUAUUGGGUUUAAAGGGAGCGUAGAUGGAUGUUUAAGUCAGUUGUGAAAGUUUGCGGCUCAACCGUAAAAUUGCAGUUGAUACUGGAUAUCUUGAGUGCAGUUGAGGCAGGCGGAAUUCGUGGUGUAGCGGUGAAAUGCUUAGAUAUCACGAAGAACUCCGAUUGCGAAGGCAGCCUGCUAAGCUGCAACUGACAUUGAGGCUCGAAAGUGUGGGUAUCAAACAGGAUUAGAUACCCUGGUAGUCCACACGGUAAACGAUGAAUACUCGCUGUUUGCGAUAUACAGCAAGCGGCCAAGCGAAAGCGUUAAGUAUUCCACCUGGGGAGUACGCCGGCAACGGUGAAACUCAAAGGAAUUGACGGGGGCCCGCACAAGCGGAGGAACAUGUGGUUUAAUUCGAUGAUACGCGAGGAACCUUACCCGGGCUUAAAUUGCAGAUGAAUUACGGUGAAAGCCGUAAGCCGCAAGGCAUCUGUGAAGGUGCUGCAUGGUUGUCGUCAGCUCGUGCCGUGAGGUGUCGGCUUAAGUGCCAUAACGAGCGCAACCCUUGUUGUCAGUUACUAACAGGUUCCGCUGAGGACUCUGACAAGACUGCCAUCGUAAGAUGUGAGGAAGGUGGGGAUGACGUCAAAUCAGCACGGCCCUUACGUCCGGGGCUACACACGUGUUACAAUGGGGGGUACAGAGGGCCGCUACCACGCGAGUGGAUGCCAAUCCCAAAAACCUCUCUCAGUUCGGACUGGAGUCUGCAACCCGACUCCACGAAGCUGGAUUCGCUAGUAAUCGCGCAUCAGCCACGGCGCGGUGAAUACGUUCCCGGGCCUUGUACACACCGCCC
rnacentral:rRNA from 1 species